rnacentral:rRNA from 1 species
UACGUAGGUGGCAAGCGUUGUCCGGAAUUAUUGGGCGUAAAGCGCGCGCAGGCGGUUAUGUAAGUCUGAUGUUAAAGCCCUGGGCUCAACCUCGGUUCGCAUUGGAAACUGUGUAACUUGAGUGCAGAAGAGGAAAGUGGUAUUCCACGUGUAGCCGGGAAAUGCGUAGAUAUGUGGAGGAACACCAGUGGCGAAGGCGACUUUCUGGUCUGUAACUGACGCUGAGGCGCGACACCGUGGGGAGCAAACAGG